CUCUAGUGGCCUACAGCAGUUGAAAUAACCUUACUCUUUGCUCCUCUCAUUUCUUGUUUGCCCCAUACUUGGGGAAGGGGUUAUAUGGUUAAAUCCUAGAAUGUCAGAGCCCGAAGAGCUCUUAGCAUCUCUGAAUCCAAUCUCCCCUCUUUCCCUCAACUUUUAAUUAAACCAAAGUCAAACCACAUCAUUUUCCAGCACCCCCUACCCUGCUGUGAAGCAGGUUGCAAUCUACUGCUCUUGGGUUCAGUCGUAUGACUUGCUUUGGACAAUGGAAUGUUAACAGAUAUAGUGUGAGGAGAAUCUUGGAAAAUGCUUAUGUAAUUGGGCUGCUCUCCGGUACUUCCGCUAGUGCAAGGAGAAUGUGUCCGGGCUAGCCCAUUGAUUUCAGGGGGGAUAAAUGAGACAUAUGAGCAGUAUUGUCAGCAAAGCUUCCUUAGCCCAAGACUAAGGCAGAGCUCCCCAGCUGACCUGCAGAUAAUUGAGUGAACCAAGCCAAGAUCAGCAGAGCCACCUAGCUUAGCCCAGCCCAACCUCGAUCCACCAAAUUCCAGACAACUCACAGAUACUAUAACAUGUGUGUGUCAAUUUUUAUCAACAACCUGGAGCUUUUAGUUAGUAUUUGAAGAAUCUUAGUCAGGAACCCAUACAUGAAGAGUGGUUAGCAAACAUAUGAAAAGCCCUAAAAGGAGUCCACAGCCCAGACGGGCUGCAGCAACUUCAAAUAUCCUCAUCCGAAUCUGCACCAGAGGACCUGCUCUUUGGGAUCUCAUCCAGAAUCCCACAUUACAUUAAAUCAUCACGUCUCCUUAGUCUCCUCCAACCUUCUCAGUCUUUCCUUGUUUAUCGGCACCCUGGAAGUUUUGAGUGCUGGCCAGGUAGGAUUUGCUCUGGGGCAAGUCAGCUGCUGUGUUGUGAAGACACUCCAAGACAACUGUGGAGGGGACCCACCCUGCCAGCCACGUGAAUGAGACUCCCUGGAAGCAGAUCUUCCAGCCCCAGUUGAGCCUUCAAGUGACCACAGCCCUGACACGUCUGACUGAUCCUCAUGAGAAAUCUCAAGCUAGAGCUAUCAGUCCACCUGUUUCCAAAGUCCUGGCCCGCAGAAACUGUGACAGAAAAGAAGUGCUUAUUAUUUAUAUAAGUUACUAAAUUUGGGGAUAAUUUGUUACACAGCAAUUAGAUAAUGAAUACAGAAACACUCAGAAAAGUAUUCGAAAAAACAAAACUUCAAAUUUUACAAUUCCAAAAUAAACUCAUUAUAACUUGAAUAUAAUCCCUUCUUUUAAUGCUUAACCGUACUUAAACUAUGUCUUUGUAUAAUUUAAAAAAAUAAAACUGGGAUCAUAAUUUAUUUCACUUUUAUAUACUGACAUUUUCCCCACUUAGUGUGUAAAUAAAUUGUAGAUAAUUUAUCCAUGUUAUUAGAAAAUUCUUCAGAAAUGUAAGUUUAAUGGUUCUAUAAUAUACUAAAUGGAUAGUCCACAAUUCAGCCAAAUCGUUGGACAUUUAAAUUGUGUGAAUUUGUGCUGUUAUAAAUAUUACCACAAAAAAUACCUUUGAAAGGGACAAUACAGGAAACUGCUGGGAGCACAGGUUGGAAGCUCGUUUUGUGUAGGCAUGUUCUAAUUCUGCCCCUCCCUAGCUCUACGGCUUUGAGCAAGUUCCUUGGUAUCUGUGCCUUGUUUUCCUCUCCUAUAAAAUAAGGAAUGAAGUACCCUUGCUGGUAUUUACUAUUAUUUUUUGUGGUAAAAUUUACAUGACAUUUACCAUUUUAACCCUUUUUAAGUGUACAAUUUAGUGGUAUUAAGUACAUUUUCAUUGUUAUAUAACCAUCACCACCAUCCAUAUUAAAACUCUUUCAUCAUUCCAGACUGAAACUCUAUACCCAUUAAAUAGUAACUCCUCAUUCUCUCCUCUGCCCAGCCCCUGGUAACCACUAUUUUACUUUCUGUCUUUAUGAAUAUGACUAAUUUGAGUACACUAUUUGUCCUUUUUGAUCUAGC
rnacentral:lncRNA from 1 species